AACGAACGCUGGCGGCAGGCUCAACACAUGCAAGUCGAACGCCCCGCAAGGGGAGUGGCAGACGGGUGAGUAACGCGUGGGAACAUACCCUUUUCUACGGAAUAGCUCUGGGAAACUGGAAUUAAUACCGUAUACGCCCUACGGGGGAAAGAUUUAUCGGGGAAGGAUUGGCCCGCGUUGGAUUAGCUAGUUGGUGGGGUAAAGGCCUACCAAGGCGACGAUCCAUAGCUGGUCUGAGAGGAUGAUCAGCCACAUUGGGACUGAGACACGGCCCAAACUCCUACGGGAGGCAGCAGUGGGGAAUAUUGGACAAUGGGCGCAAGCCUGAUCCAGCCAUGCCGCGUGAGUGAUGAAGGCCUUAGGGUUGUAAAGCUCUUUCACCGAUGAAGAUAAUGACGGUAGUCGGAGAAGAGGCCCCGGCUAACUUCGUGCCAGCCGCCGCAGUAA
rnacentral:rRNA from 1 species